UUUUACAUCUCCUACUCAUCCUUAUCCCUCCCAGCUCGACCCUGAGGUUGUAUUACACUUAGAAACUCAGGAAAAAACAGGUUUUAGCUAUCCUCUUUCUCUCUCUAGGGUUUGGAGCUCAAGAGAGCUUGGUGUAGUGGUUUCGGCUUUUUCGACGUGCUUUCCUUGCGCUAGCUGGUUCGGGAGGAUUUGGAGGAGCUCUCUUUCUGUGAACUGGUGGAGGUGAAGGUUUUCUUGCAGCCCAACUUAGUUGGAACCUGGUUUGCAUUAAGCGGAUUUGGAUGGAGGUGUGGCGCAGCCCAAGAGGGUUUUGGAGGCUGUGAUUUUCCUACUCAAGCUCAGGAAGGAGCUGAUUAGAGGCUUGAAUCAGCAACCAUGAUUUCCUCUUUGAGCUGAAAUUGGGACCUCGUGAAGUUAGGUUGGAAGGUAUUUCAGCGAGUGGUUGCAACAACGAAUUGAUUGGUUCUUGACUGACCUUGGGGAGCUUUCGGAGAGUUAAAUUUCAAGUUUAAACAGCUCCAAAAUAGGAAAUUAAGCUACUACACUACUCAAGGUUUGAGCUGAGUUUUGAGGACACCUAGCUUCCUUAUUGAGCUCACUCAAUUUUCC